rnacentral:rRNA from 1 species
AGAGUUUGAUCCUGGCUCAGAACGAACGCUGGCGGCAUGCCUAACACAUGCAAGUCGAACGCGUGGAGCGAUCCACGCGUGGCGCACGGGUGAGUAACGCGUGGGAACCUGCCCUUGAGUGGGGGAUAACCCGGCGAAAGCCGGGCUAAUACCGCAUACGCCCCCGGGGAUGACCCGGGGGGAAAGAUUUAUCGCUCGAGGAGGGGCCCGCGUGGGAUUAGCUAGUUGGUGGGGUAACGGCCCACCAAGGCGAUGAUCCCUAGCUGGUCUGAGAGGAUGAUCAGCCACACUGGGACUGAGACACGGCCCAGACUCCUACGGGAGGCAGCAGUGGGGAAUAUUGGACAAUGGGGGCAACCCUGAUCCAGCAAUGCCGCGUGAGUGAUGAAGGCCUUAGGGUUGUAAAGCUCUUUCGCCCGCGACGAUGAUGACGGUAGCGGGAGAAGAAGCCCCGGCUAACUUCGUGCCAGCAGCCGCGGUAAUACGAAGGGGGCGAGCGUUGUUCGGAAUUACUGGGCGUAAAGGGCGCGCAGGCGGCGCAUGAAGUCAGGUGUGAAAGCCCCGGGCUCAACCUGGGAAUUGCACUUGAUACUCGUGUGCUGGAGUGCGGGAGAGGAGAGUGGAAUUCCCAGUGUAGAGGUGAAAUUCGU